CCUACGGGUGGCAGCAGUGGGGAAUAUUGCACAAUGGGGGAAACCCUGAUGCAGCGACGCCGCGUGAGUGAAGAAGUAUCUCGGUACGUAAAACUCUAUCAGCAGGGAAGAAAAUGACGGUACCUGACUAAGAAGCCCCGGCUAACUAAGUGCCAGCAGCCGCGGUAAUACGUAGGGGGCCAGCGUUAUCCGGAUUUACUGGGGGUAAAGGGGGCGUAGACGGCAGCACAAGUCUGGAGUGAAAUCCCGGGGCUUAACCCCGGAACUGCGUUGGAAACUGGUCGGCUGGAGUGCAGGAGGGGUAAGCGGAAUGCCUAGUGUAGCGGUGAAAUGCGUAGAUAUUAGGAGGAACACCGGUGGCGAAGGCGGCUUACUGGACCGUAACUGACGCUGAGGCUCGAAAGCGUGGGGAGCAAACAGGAUUAGAUACCCGGGUAGUC
rnacentral:rRNA from 1 species